ensembl:misc_RNA
CACUGAGUGUCUCCAGGAAAAAGGGGUUCCAUAAGAAGUGGCAUCCUCCUCCAGUUGAAAG